GAUGAACGCUGGCUGCGUGCCUAAUACAUGCAAGUCGAGCGAAGCGGGGACGGGGGAGUAACACGGGGAUAACCUCCUAUAAGACUGGGAUAACUUCGGGAAACCGGAGCUAAAACGGAUACUCAUAGAUGGCUCCGCGCUGCAUUAGCUAGUUGGUAAGGUAACGGCUUACCAAGGCAACGAUGCAUAGCCGACCUUAGAGGGUGAUCGCGCACACUGGCCCUUUGACACGGUCCAGACGCCUUCGCGUGGCAGCAGUAGGGAAUCUUCCGCAAUUGGCGAAAGCCUGACAGAGCAACGCCGCGUGAGUGAUGAAGGUCUUCGGAUCGUAAAACUCUGUUAUUAGGGAAGCGGUACCUAAUCAGAAAGCCACGGCUAACUACGUGCCAGCAGCCGCGGUAAUAC
rnacentral:rRNA from 1 species